GCUCUCUCCUCCAUCUGCAUGCCUGGCGAUGCCAUUGUGGAAGACAUAGGGCCUUGGUUUGUGGGUUCCACUACAGCAGCAGCCCCUCAGAGGAGGUUUGAGGAGCUGUUCUCGCCACAGGGGCAGGGCUGGAGCAAGGUCCUGGUGCAGUCUGUCUAAGGGAGGAAGGCUGCCAGCUGUGCCCUUGUCCCCUGUUGGGGUUGUGGGGUGAUGGAGCUGCUUUCUGCAGAAGGUGCAUGGCGUCCAGGAGGAGCUGAGGGGAUCUGGCAGCCAUUGGAUGUUUUGUGUUCCUGAUGGGAGCAGUGGCUUCUGUGAGCAGUGCCAAUUGUCCAGCUUUCCCAGGGUGUGGAGGAGCAGCAUGAUGGGGGCUCCCUGUGCGAGACCAAGGAUUUAAGCUGCUGCUGCUCGGAGUGGUGUGGUUCCCCUUCUGUCUGCAGUAAGCUUGAGGUGGCAGCAGAAGUGGUAGAUUUCAGAUAAUGUCUGCAGGAGAAGAGAACAUGCUUGAGCUGGAGCUUGAAAUAAUGCUCUUGAGUGGGGAGGCUUGCUGCUUUGCUCUAUCAAAGGAAACAAAAACUAAAUUGAGCAAGGCAACUCAUGAGGUUUGAUGUAAAGACAAAAGAAAUCUGGCACUCACCCUCUAAUGCUUGGAGAUCUGCUCUUCAUCCUCUGCUCCCUCGAAGCUGCUUCAUUUCAGGUACCCUUAUGCAUCUAGAAGAAAGCGAGUAGCUGCAUUGAAGAAUGUUUUCCAAUAUGUACAAGUUUGUACUGAUAUUGAUGGUUAAAUGUUAUUAAUAAAUGGGAAAGAAUAAAUAUUUGUUACAGCUGACUACU
rnacentral:lncRNA from 1 species